GGCCGUAUGGCUGACGGACAUCGCGACCCUGCAAGGCUUGCCCUGGACGCUGGUUGUACCCGGCCAUGGCCC
rnacentral:tRNA from 1 species